rnacentral:misc_RNA from 1 species
UCUCCGUAGGUGAACCUGCGGAGGGAUCAUUACAGAGUUCAUGCCCUACCGGGUAGAUCUCCCACCCUAUGUUAUUAUUACUUUGUUGCUUUGGCGGGCCGUUAGGCUCCGGCCCGACUACCGGCCCCGGCUGGUAUGCGCCCGCCAGAGGACCCAAAACCCUGAAUAUUAGUGUCGUCUGAGUACUACAUAAUAGUUAAAACUUUCAACAACGGAUCUCUUGGUUCCG